CCUACGGGAGGCAGCAGUGGGGAAUAUUGCACAAUGGGGGAAACCCUGAUGCAGCGACGCCGCGUGAGUGAAGGAGUAUCUCGGUACGUAAAGCUCUAUCAGCAGGGAAGAAAAUGACGGUACCUGACUAAGAAGCCCCGGCUAACUACGUGCCAGCAGCCGCGGUAAUACGUAGGGGGCAAGCGUUAUCCGGAUUUACUGGGUGUAAAGGGAGCGUAGACGGCAGCACAAGUCUGGAGUGAAAUCCCGGGGCUUAACCCCGGAACUGCUUUGGAAACUGUGCGGCGGGAGUGCAGGAGGGGGCAGCGGAAGUCCUAGUGUAGCGGUGAAAUGCGUAGAUAGUAGGAGGAACACCGGGGGCGAAGGCGGCUUACUGGACUGUAACUGACGUUGAGGCUCGAAAGCGUGGGGAGCAAACAGGAUUAGAUACCCGAGUAGUC
rnacentral:rRNA from 1 species